AAUUCAAUUCAAGUUAAUGUUUAUUUUGUCUGAUAAUUAAUUUAAUUUACGUUCGAACAACUUUUGAUUACCGAUUAAACCAAUUGGAAAAAAAUUUACAUUGCAGCCUGUACAAUUUUUCUUGAUUCCUUUAAUAAUAAUUAUCUUGUGAAGAGACAAAUUGAUGGUUGUAAUCAAUGUUUGAUUAUUUAUAGUAUAAUAGUAUUACUUUUUUGUUUCUUUUUUUUCACUAACACAUCAGGAUUAAAUGGACCAUUACUUGAAGAUAAUCAAUAUUCAAAGGAUUAAAUCAACUUUUGCUUUGGGCAAUAAAAGGUUAAGUUAACUCAACUGGAAGUGAAUCACUGUUUUAUCAUCUAAUGCCUGUAUUCCUCUUCUCUUUCUAUAGCAGCACUCUGGAAUCAAAAUCUCUAUCUAAUUUGGAAUAAAUAUUCAAUCCUGUUAUCAUGGUGUACAUUUUUCUCAAUCUUUGAAUACAUUUUCCCGAUGUAACUUCAAUGUAUUUAUUUGACGAAAAUGGUUUAAUGUUUAGAAGACAAAACAAAACCUUUGAACCAGUGCAUAAGAUAAACCAGACGAGUCAAGGUUUAUGGUGGAAACAAAGAAAAGAAAAUGUUCUUCAUUAAAUUCAACAAGACAUUUCAACUUUGGUGAUCAUAAUUGAAGGAAAACUGAAAAAGAAAGUGAAAAGCCAGAAAAGAGAUGAAAAAUGUAAAGAAAACAAGAUCAUAAUUUUCAAGUGUUAUUUUCCAUUGUUGUGUCAACAUGGUAAUUUGGAUUUCAUUUCUCGCCUGACAAUGAGUCUAUUUAAUCUGAUAUUUAUUCAAUUUCCAAUCGAAACAUUUUGACUGUUGAUGACAAAAUGUAUGCAAACAUUUUCUCUCCUUUUUUUUAAUGUAAAAAAUCGUGAUUCCAAACAAAGGAAAGCUCCAGUUAAGGGAAACUGAUCUGUUGAAGCAAGAAAAAGGAAAACUGAAACUCGGAAAAGACCAUCAACCCAAUAAGCUAAUAACAUUUAUGAACAGUGGAAAAAAGCGUAACAGAAUGUUAUGUUCAGGAAUAACAGUGAUUUCUUCAUUUCCAAUGUCUAUUUUUCUUCCUUUUUUUCCUCGUCUAUCUAUUCGUCUUAUUGUCUUCCCUUUCUUCACUACUUUUAUUCAUUCUUCACUCUUUUCUCUCUCCUCUUUAUCUUUACUAUCACUUUUCUAAUGCAGUCUUUUUAUGUUUGUUUUUUUUCUUCUUCUCUUGUGUUCAGGAUCAUCAUUAUUAUCACAGUCAUGGAUACGUUUUUUAAUACCCUAUGAAUUACUCUCCUGGCUUUGGUAGACAACACUAGAAAAGAACAGUUGAAUUGCUUUAAAACGAUUGAUAAUGACAUACUCAGGUAGUUCACACUUAUAAACAGACUGAUGCUGAGCUGAAUCUAAUUUAUAACUCUAGGAAAAGAUUAACUUGGAAUAAAUGAUGACUUAACAAUCUUUAAUUGGAUCAUGCAUUAAUUGAUACUGUUCAACUUUCCUCAUUGAAAUAUCGUUGAAACAAUUUGCAAUUUGUUGGAAGAAGCAAAUCAAGGGAUUCACAAAAUAUAAUAAUGGCGAUAAUGAUAAACAUCAACAGUCCAGCACAAGCACACCAAGUCAACACUCACAUACUAACCACUUCUUUUCCUUCUGUGGUUAUGUUUGGCUCCUUCCUUUUCAAUGUCCCAAAAACUUUCCUUUUUGGUGUCUUCUUUAAUCUAAUUGUGACCAACUCUACAACCUAACUCACCAGCAAUCCAUUUCAAUUCACGUCCUUCCAAUUCUAAUUCUUGUUCCUCUCUCUCUCCAUCUUCCCUCCAUACUUAUCACCCUUUCCCUUCAUCACUCCUUCAUUUUCCUCCUUUCGUCUUUACAAAGUUCAUUUGAGGAAAAGCUGAAUAUUUUUCCAUCAUCUUAUGUGAGGAACGACUUUCAAGAUUUGAUUAACUCUCUGUUUCAAUAUAUUUAUAUUUAUACAAAUUACCCUGGUCAUCCAUCUUUCCUUUGUUCAAAGUGAUUUGUCUCACCAUUUAACCAACAACAUUAUUAAUUUUAUGUUAAUUAGUCAAAUAAUUUAUGAUAGUCAGUGUACAUAUAUAAUACAUUUCAUGAUGAGUAUUUCAUAAAUUUACAUAGUCUUUUUUUUAUUGUUUUGAGGUUGCUUAUUUGCUUCCUCUGAUCCAUCAUUUUACAUAAAGUGAUCAUUACAGAUCCAUUGUAAUAUUUAACAAAUAGGAAAAAAGUUGAUGAAAAGAAGUAAAUUAAUCUAUCGGAGGAGACUUUUUUUCAUAUCUCAAUAUGCAUCAUAUUUUUUGGCUAUUGACAAUCAACGAUAAAAGUUCAUUGUCAGUGUCUAAAAGUGAGCAAUUCAUGUUUAAUAUUAUCCAUUUUUUUCAUAUUUACUUUAUUCUCAUCUUUUUUUAUCCUUUUUCUUUACAGAUUUAUUCAAUUUAAAUAAUUCAAGAUGGUGUUGAUCAAGAAUUACUAAACCAAAGGAAUUACUGGGAAUAUAAAUGAUGUGAUUCAAAUCUUUCCAAAAGAUAACCCAUUGAUGUCUUGAUGAUCAAAAAAGCUAACAAAUAUCAAGUUAAACAUCUGGACCAUCCAUUUGAUAGUAAUUGGUACAAGACAUUGGUUAAGUUUCCCAUUGAAAGGUUGGGAAAGAAAAGCAAUUAACCAAAGGAUUGAUUGUUGGCAUAAUUUGAGCUGACUAGAUGAUGGACUAUGGUUUUCCAGUGUGUUAUCACCACCAGAUUCACUUAUAAAAAAUGGUCGUAAAUGUUCAAAUUAUUCAAAUCAACCGAUCAAUAUCAUCAUCAAAGAGCCAUCAUAAUUUUACUCCAAUUAACGGUUUCCCUGAAGACAAUUAAAAAGAUGGUAAAAUUGGAUGAAUCCAAGUAAAAUCAACUAAAAUCCUUGUGAUCUACUGUAUCAAUCAACUUCAAUUGGUACAAUGUUAAUAACAAUAACAAGGUCUGUAAUCAAAGGGAACUGGUUGGUAAAGAAAAUGGUUCAAGAAAAGAAACAAAAUAAACUAUUUAAAUCAUUUCUUCCGAUUCCACCAUUCACAUUAUUAUAAAUAAUAAUUCAUCUUUAAAUUUGCAAGAUAAGUUGCUUUUUAUUUCAAGUAAAACAUAUUUAACUCUCACUAUUAUUAUUUAUUUGAUACAUAACACUUAGAACUGUUCAUUUACCUUUUAUAUCAAGAAACAAAAUAAUAUUGAAUGGUUUAAAUGUGUUCCCUCAUUUUUGCAUGAUUAUCAUUGCGUUUAUUUUUUUUCAUUCUGUAUGAAAAUUAAUAACAACAGAAGAGGAGAAAACGUAAUUUACUUGAGUGUGUUCACUAUUAUCAGCAAAUUGCUUGGAAUUAACAUUCAAUUAAUUAAUGAUUGAAUUUAAAUUGUUUCCUGCGAUUCUGCAGCUUCAUAAUUAUUGGUUAUCUUAAUUUUGCUAAUUUAUAUCUUCUUCUUUACCUACAGAUUUGCCAUUAAAGGAGUGAUCUUUUCUGGUUAUGAUGACUGGUCAAAUCAUCAAAUAAUCAAAGUCAAUUAGUUGAUCAAGGCGAGAUUAAUGGUCAUGCACUGAUCAUGCAACUUGGAGGCCUGUACGGAUUAUUAAUGGACAAUUGAAUUGAAAGUGACAGAUUGAAGAGCAACAUGAGGAUGACCAUGAAAGAAUUGGAAAAAAUUGAAAUCAAUUAUAUUAAUGGCUUACCUAAUUGUUUGAUCAUUACUCCACUUGAUUUGAUCUCAUUGCUUCCACUAAACACGUUGGUUUGAUCAUAAUUUGAUUUUUUAUUUACAUUAUUUCCAUUUAAUGAUUCUCCUGAAGAGUAGAGAAAUGAAGAAAAAACAAAGUCAAUUGUUGCAGUUGAAGAAGGAAAGGAAAACAAUCUUUCACUAUUUUCUGGUUGAAACAUAUAAUUAAAGUUAACUACUGUUUAUCGCCAUUGUCAUUCCGUGAAUUAUCACCUUCACAAGGAGCAAAAGGGAUGAAGAUUGAUACAAGGAGUGGAGAAAGAAGGAGGAAGAUGUAGGAAGACGGAGAAGUGGAAUGAAGAGAAGGAAGAAGAGGAGGAAAAUGAUCAUUUCUUCAUCCUUUCACUUGAUAUUGAUCUGAUUAUGGUGAAGAAGAGGUGAAAAAAAAGGUUUUUUUUAGGAUGAAGAAGCCUUAACAAGGAGUUUGAGAGUAUAAAAAAAAGGUACAUCAAUAUAAUAAUAUAUAUAUAAAAUAAUACUACUCAAGGGCAAGAGGAAUGUAAUUUAUAUAUUUUUCACUUUUAUCAACCUUUCGCUCAUGUUAUUGAUGAUAGUUUUCUCAGGGUUAUCAGGGAGUACAAAGUGGGAAACAGUUGAAAAAGUAUGAGGAUGAUAAUGAUGAUGAGCGAGAAGAUGAACAGGAAUGAAGCAAAGAUGUAGUGGGAAAAAUGAGCAAAGCAGAGAUGAAAGUUAAAGAUGUAAAAUAACGAAGAAUUGAAAAUAUAUUUUUCUCGCCUUUCUCUUCCAUUCCUCUUCCAACCUUUCUCAUCAUCUUCACCGGCAACCUGACUAUUGAAUACAGAGACCAACAAGCAAACAUCAACAAUAAAGAAGGAAAUAACAACAGUCUAAAUAAUACACUAUCAUACACCUUGUAAUCGGUGUUACCCUAAUAGGAGCAGCAACAAGACUAAAUAAAAAGGUUUACGUUCAAGCUGUUGUAACAUUGAACAAGAAGAAAAGUGAAUUCACCAAAAUCUAUUGGAAAGUUAUGAAGGUGAAGCAAAAAACAACAAAAUCAACCUUCCCACUUUGAUGGACGCAUUAUGUUUCUAUCCUUUUUCAUCUUCUUCAUUUUAUAUUACACUUUCCCUUCAUCAUCAUCUCCAUCUUUGCCAGAUAUUUUUGGUUACAUUAUUUGUUACAAUAAGACAAACUGGAACACCAACAUCAACGAGAAAAGCUUUUGGGAGUUGAACAGUAAAGAGGAACAAAAAAGAGUCAAUGUUAUUUUUCUUAUUUUCAACAUUCCUUAUUUUUCCCUUUCAUUCACAUUUUUCCUUUUUCCUUCCCUUUAUAUUCACAGAUUUUGUUGUCACUUUUGUUUUAACUUCCUUUUCCUCUUUUAUGCACAGAUUUUCAAGUUUUAUUGACGCAAAAAAUGCCACCAUAUUGAUGAUAUUUCAUCCAGUAACACCAACAGAAAUGAUCUGAUAAAAUCUCCAUCAGUUUAUAUCUUCAUCUUCACCUAAUCGUAACACUGGCUAAGGAUAAAACCUUCAUUUGUAAACUUGGUACCUCAUUUAGUUGGCCAUCAUUUUUUCCCUGGUAAUCUUUUAUUCUCAAAUUUCCCUGGAUCAAAUACAUUUAUAUAUUUUCCCGUUGAUGGUUCACUUGGAGUUAUUAUUGGAGUAACCAAUAAAUCAUUGCAAGACAAGGUCAAUUUCAAUCGAAAUCUUUAUCAGUUGCAAUUUAUACUAAAAAAAGAGAUUCAAAGGAAAAAAUAGAAUAGGAAAAAAAUUCAUUUCUUCUUCCUCAAUCAAUUCCCUGCAGUUUCGUUUCUGAAUCUCAUUCAAUUGCCUUUCAGAGUUUUCUCAGUUUUUUUGUUCAAUUUACACAAACACAAAAAAACAACUUUUCAUUUACGCAGACCUUUACUCAGUCAGUAUCAUCAAUGUUGACAAUGUAAUACAAAUUAUCAAAAACAAUGGACAAGACUAGCCAAGGCUGAUUGAAAACCAAGAAAAAAAAUCAACAAUAGGAUUGGAAAUACAAAAGGCCAAUAAGACUGAUUAGUUCUGUUUAUAAAUUGAUCUCUAUUUUGGAUCUUAUUCAAGAUUGGUUAACAAUGGCCAAUAGCUGGACCCAUUGUUGGUCAGAAGGCAAAAAAUAUUGAAACUAAAGCUACAUCAACUGAAUAGACAAAGAAAAUUGCUAUCAAGUCUUUUGAUUAACCAGUCUUUGUUACCUUGCUAUUUACCUUUUAAAAUGUUAAAAUUAAUAACAUGAUAUUUUGUUUUUGGGUGAUAUUUUAUUGUUUCCGUCAUGAUAGUAAUUACCUCAAUAAACAGAUAAUCACGUUCACUUUCAAUUGUUCAUCUAUUUCAACAUGGUAAAGUGAUAAUAAUGGCUUCACACUCACACAGCCAGCUCAAGCCAAAGUUGUUCAGUUGAAGUCUAUUUUUUCAAAAUUUUUUUCUCUCUUGUUUUUUCAUCACUUUAUUAUUGUGAACAAAAUUAUAUAUAAAGGAUAUAAAUGUUACAUGAUGAUAAUUUUAACCCCUGGAAGCAAUGAAAAUGUGAUAAUUUCAAGUUGAAGAUACACUUUGAAAAUAAAAGUAGAAAAAUAUUUAUCCAAGUUAUCGACUUGAGGCUUUUAUCCAACUGUACUUUCGUAUACACUUUUUUUCAUCUCUUUAACGUUUUCUUCGAGCCCAUUUCUUCAAUAACACAAGAUUCAAUGGAACAACUUUUUCUACUCACCAAAAUUUUCUUCUUAAAUCCCAUUGAAUCUGUUUCUGAGAGAUGAAAUUUACUACGUAAAGCUUUGAUGGGUUAGACACAGACAAAAAUGUUGAGACAGAUUGGAAUCAUUACCAGCUAUUACUUGGUGAAUGGUGUAAGAAUGGAUUAAAAAGCUAUCUUUUUGGGCGAGAAAACAUUUCCUUUCUCAGUUAUUUCCUUAAUUUUUACACCAUAAUUGUUACUAUUAAUGAUCACAGGAAUCAAUGUAAUUAAAGAUAUAAUGACAAUAAUUGAACAAAGAAAUGCAACAUUCAACUGUUUGAUUAGGAAACGACCCCUUUAACGGUUUUGCUUUGUUUUCAAUUUCAAAUGUUGACUCUUUUGUUUCUAACUUUUUAAACCCUUUCUCUUCAUUUAAUUAUAAUUGAUUAAUUAUAAUUAAUUGAUUGUUUAGUCAACUUUGAGUGUUUACAAACAAUCGUUUACUAGUUCAUGCGGUGAUGUAGAUUUACUAGCAAUUUAAUUUGAUAGUUACAUCUUAAGCCUUUAUGGGAUCAUAAAGUUAAAAAUAGGAGCCCAGGAAUCGGUUCAAAAAUCAUGAUGUUAACAAGACAAAACAUGAAAAAAGCUCAUCUAAAAAAACUUGGUACACAGCCAUUGGACCUACCUUUUGCAUAAUAGGAAAGGUUGCUUGUCAGUUAAGAGUUCAUGGGUUCAGAGAUCUUGAGACCAACAGAGUACAACAAAAAAAAGUCUUCAUCACUGAUUCUCUAACUUUUGGUCUAUUCUUCAACUCUACACAGCUCAUUGCCACCACCACUACCACUACCACUAUCACCACCAUCACCAACACCAUCAUCAUGAUGAUCACUCUCUAUUUGUCCACCAUUUUUCUCAUGAAAAGGCCAGAGAAGAAAAAAGGAGAACAAGAAAAAACCUUCCUGACAUUUUUGUCAAUUGAUUAAAUUCAAUCAACCCAACCAAUCCAUUAAAUUUUAAUAAUCAACUUGAUUCUAUUCUGUGAGUAACAUAUAAAAAGUACGAACGUGAACCCAAAAAAAGAGUAAAAUAAAGCCAAAUAAUUAGUCUUGUAUUGAUUUGCCAAACCAGUCUGAUUAUUGUAUUGCCCUUGUUGAAUACAUAUUAAUAUCUUUUGUGAUGGGUACAAAUUGAAAAACAAUCAAACCAUGCUUCUUUUUGUAUUUGGUAUCAAUCCCAAUCAUCAUCGACAUCAUAAUAUGCUUUCUGUUGUUACAUUAAUACAGUUAAGUCUGACACCAUAUUCCAUUAAACAACAAUAAAAAACAGGAGUCCACCAAGAAAGAGAAACAAGAGAACCAAGAAACCUCAUCAAUAUCAUACCUGACAAUCUUUCCAAUUAUUGUAUAUCUAGAUGUUCAUUGUAACAAUGAAAGCAACUUGGCCAAAGCAAGCAAAAUGAUGAAAAACAAGUAAAGGACAGAUUAAAGAGCAAAUCAAAUAACAACUAUAACAAGAUGAACAGCAACCAAUGUAAUACAACUUCAACAUGUUACUUAACCGAUUCAACCAUUGAUCAACUGAAGACUGUCCAAAAGAAUGAAAGACUGAAAGAAAAAUGAACAUGAAAUCAUGUAAAACAUGUAAACCACAAUUCAUCAAACAGAGAAUAUUUCCAACUCUUUCUGUUCAUUAUCUGGAAGACAUUGAAAGCGCAUUCUUUUACGAAUCUAAAACGCUGAUUACUUUGUGUCCGAGUUCACAAAAUUUGGAACUUUGAUGUUAUUUCUGUUGGGAGCAAAAAAAAUCUGAUCGUUUUAUGUCUACUAUAAAAUAAUUUCCUCCAAAGUCUCAACUUUGAUUUCUUUUUGUUGUAUGGCUGGAAAUGAAGUAAAUCAUCAACCAAACAGACUGUGACUUUAAAGGUUGAUCUGGUUGUUUUUGUUGCAACAGAAAACUCAGGAAUAGUCUGAUUUAUUUGUAUCCAUUUAAUAAUAUCUAUUGCUAUCAUCUUCAUCAUGGAAUGAUGGUGUUUAUGUAGUUAUGAUGUGAACAAGAAAGACUUAUUUAAAAGCAAACUUGUUUAUUUCAACUCUUUGUUGUUGUAAACCUUCAACCAUAAUUGAUGAUUAGUUGAAUAUUAUACAAUUGAGGAUUUACAGUUAUCAUAAUGACAUUAAAGAGUAAAGAGUAAACAUUUACAUACAAUUUCCACUUAACACAAGUGAAAGCAAUUUAAUAAUGACAAUAUGCUUAUUAUUUGAGCAAGUUAGAUUAAACAAGAUGAAAUUGGACAAAUAA